rnacentral:lncRNA from 1 species
GUUGUAAGAGAUAAAACGCCCAAUCUGCAUGUUGCUCUUGCAUUUGGUUUCAUGGCUCAUUAAAAUGACAUAUUAUGAUGUACUUUACUUGCUUUGGUUUCUCUGCUGAAAUGUUGAUCAAUGUGUUCCUCAAUGAAAUGAAAUGUUUGUCAUUGUCUUCUCCUGCUACCUGAAAAAGGAAGGUCUACUGAAUCUCUACUAGUAGACACCAUUGAUCUCCACUGAUUUACAAGAAUAAUAAUGUGAAACCAAUGAAAACAUGAUGGCAUGCAGCACAGAUGGAAGGUAGAACACAGUUACAGAUGGUGAUGUUGCCAUUUGAAAGUAAGAAGAAAACUGGUAUCUCUUGGGUUACCAAGAGUAAAAAUAUAGAAGAUGCUUAUAAACUGCCAUCCAUAGAGUUUCUUGAAAUCACAGUUUGGGAAUGGAGGAAAAGGCUGCUUGAGUGUUUGGAAAUGGAGACUAAGGAUGAGAUAGAGUGGGGUAAGCCUGAAUUAACCUGGAGUGAGAGCAGAACGUAGAAUAUAUGUAUUAAUAAUAUAUAUAAACUAGGAAAUAACUUGACCUGUAAUUCAAACAUAAUCUUAGUGUAUUUUUUAAAUUUACACAUAAAUACAACCCAUACUUAUGUUGUUCAAGAAAUACUUAUUUAGUAAUUUAUUGAGUUGUAAUUUCUUAAUGUUUACCUUCAGUAUUAAGAGGGAGUAG